UGCCCAGCAACUCCUAUCCCUACCUCCACGUGGUACCGGCCGGAAACUAUGAGCAACCUUAGGGAAGAUCGGGUAACCAACCCCGGUGGGAACUUUGGUCAUAGGCUGACAGGGAAGG
rnacentral:ribozyme from 1 species